rnacentral:rRNA from 1 species
GCCAGACUCCUACGGGAGGCAGCAGUGGGGGAUAUUGCACAAUGGGGGGAACCCUGAUGCAGCGACGCCGCGUGGGUGAAGAAGCGCCUCGGCGCGUAAAGCCCUGUCAGCAGGGAAGAAAAUGACGGUACCUGAAGAAGAAGCCCCGGCUAACUACGUGCCAGCAGCCGCGGUAAUACGUAGGGGGCAAGCGUUAUCCGGAUUUACUGGGUGUAAAGGGAGCGUAGACGGCGAUGCAAGUCUGAAGUGAAAGGCGGGGGCCCAACCCCCGGACUGCUUUGGAAACUGUAUAGCUGGAGUGCAGGAGAGGUAAGUGGAAUUCCUAGUGUAGCGGUGAAAUGCGUAGAUAUUAGGAGGAACACCAGUGGCGAAGGCGGCCUGCUGGACUGCAACUGACGUUGAGGCUCGAAGGCGUGGGGAGCAAACAGGAUUAGAGACCCUCGUAGCC